CCUCCUUCAGCUCUCUUCAGAACUUGGAGACGCAGUGAGCUUAGUUAGUACCUGAACACCUGGUAGUGCUUACUUUCCAGCUGCGUAAUAGUAGGAAUUUUUAUCCUAUCUAAUCAAGCCACAGCUUCUCAGAUGGUAGCUGCGUUGAAUAGAGUUGUUAGGGUAGGAGCGUGGUGUAAUGCUAAGAACCUAAUUAAAUACUAAAUUGGUCGUUUACAGAUCUCUUAAGUGGUAGUAAGAAGGCUCUAGGGGAUCUAACGAUCACUGGACUAAAGUUGCUUUUAUAAUAACAAUAUCUUUCAAGAGCAAAGAAGAUAACUGUAUAACACAGUGGUACCAGUUUACCUAUCAUACAACCAUCUUGGUAAUAAAUAACUGUCAAAUAGUCAAACCUACCACAUGGCGAUGCAGAGAUAACUCAGACACCAAAAAUGAUUCUGGAUCAGACAUAAUGUGAUUUAAUACAACACAGGGGAUACAGAGAGGGUAAAAAAAUCCUAUGAUUAAAGACAAGGCUUUAAAGAAGACACUUUCUUAGGUAUUUUCAACUAUAUUUUAUCCACCUCAGAAGUGUUCUUAAGACUAUAUGGAAUGUCCAUAGAUUUUAGAAUAUUUGUGCAAUUCUGCUUUUCAUAUAAUACUUCCCAUUAGGCAUAAUCUAAUUGCAGUGAAGGUCUGUUUUAAUAUAAAUCAGUAAUCUAAAAGCAUUUUUAAUCAAUUUAGUGCCAUCCUAGAAAAAAAAAAAAAAAACACUUAUAACACGUUCCCUGGAAUAUAUGCCUUU